CUUGAUAGUGUUUCACACACAACUAUAGUAUAUGAAUACUAAGUUAUAUUGGAAACACAAAUUGUAUUGUAGAGUAAAUGACCAGAUAACUGGAUAUAUUGAUACGCAAGUAAAUGACCAGAUAACUGGAUAUAUUGACAAAUUAGUAAGUGACCAGAUAACUGGAUAAGUUGAUAAACAAGUAAGUGACCAGAUAACUGGAGAGAUAUGAUAAGUAAUACUUGAACAAAUAUAAGGAUUUAAAGCAAUGAAUAUAACCUCAGAUAGUAGACCAGGUAACUGGAUGAGGGAUCUGCGUAAAAUAGUCAACCUCUGUGUUUGACCAGAUAACUGGAAGAGGGAUCUUUUUAAUUAAGUGUUGUUUUUAAGUAAAAGAUAGAACUAUAAUUAACAGAGAACAACACAAGAGAUUUAUACUGGUUCACCCAAACAAGGGCUAGUCCAGUCCCGACCAACUGCCGGAAUUCACUCGCCUAAAGGUAAUGGCAAAACCUUUCUAAGCUUUAAGGCUACUUCGCUUAGGAACCAGUCUUUUACGGGUAGACUCACACCUUAGAGUAUCAAGGGCACUCUUAAGAACCUCUAACUUUUACGGGUAAGUUAGUACCUUAGAGUAUCAAGGAACUCUUAAAAACCUCUCUAAGCUUUAAGGCUACUUCACUUAGGAACCAGUCUUUUACGGGUAGACUCACACCUUAGAGUAUCAAGGGCACUCUUAAGAACCUCUAACUUUUACGGGUAAGUUAGUACCUUAGAGUAUCAAGGAACUCUUAAAAACCUCUCUAAGCUUUAAGGCUACUUCGCUUAGGAACCAGUCUUUUACGGGUAGACUCACACCUUAGAGUAUCAAGGGCACUCUUAAGAACCUCUAACUUUUACGGGUAAGUUAGUACCUUAGAGUAUCAAGGAACUCUUAAAAACCUCUGAAAUCUUUAAAGGUAGACUCAACCUAAGAGUUUUACCAGAAACUCUAUAAAACCAAACUAGAGCUUUAUGGUUGAGCUCACAAACCUUCUCUAACACUUUGGUACUAUUGAGACAACCCUCUCAACCAAAGUGGACACACACAAGAGGUGAUUAGAGGAGUGGAAUAUUAAAGCAAACAACACUUCUUACUUGUAAAGAUGAACAAGAAGAUUAGAAGAAGAAGUUGGAGAGCUUUUGAAGCUUUGGAAAGCUAGGACACUUGAGCACUUGAAAGCUUGGAAGCUUGGAGGCAAAAACGUGUGGGCAAGUGUGGAGUGAAAGCUCUUGAGUUUGCUUGUAGUGUGGUGAGUGAAAAUGAGGGGAUUACCCUUCUAUUUAUAGCCUUGGCCACUCAAUGUCCACCCUUGGAUCUUCAAUGGAUAGCUCCUUGAUUUCUCACAUAAAUCCAAGCUUUGUCUUUGAUCUUAUAUUGAAUAGUGUUUUUCUUGGAUAGAGUUUGUUGGAGAAUCUUAUCUUUGUAUAAAUUCAAACUUGAAUAGUGUUUUGUCCCCUUGGAAUAUUAUACCUUGAAUAGAGUGUCAAAAGAUAAUAAUAAUAAUAUUCAAGGUAAAAAUGCAAUUAUUCCAAAUAAUAAUAUUCAAGGUGAAAAUGCAAUUCUCCCAAUUUGACUUUUAACUUUGACUUAAACCUUUAACUCAAAUGAUUAAUUAAUUAACUAGAGUUAGGUUUAAUAUCGAUUGACUUAUUUACCCCCUAUUGAUUAAUAGUGUAAUUAGGGUUUAAAUUGACAUGAUUAAAAUAUAAUCCUAUGUCGACAAUUUUGAUUCUACAUUUCUAACAAUCACCUUGUUUAAUAUAUAACAGGCUGUGUUAACAGCUUCUGCCCAGAGAUACUGUGGUGAAUCAUGUUCUUGUAACAUGGAUCUACUCAUCUCUUGUAGAGUUCUGUUUUUCCUUUCAACAACUCCAUUCUGAGGGGGUGCUUGGGGAAAAGCAAAUUCAUGUUUCAUUCCAUGAGUUUUGCAAAAUUCUUCAAACUCAGAGUUCUCGAAUUCUCCUCCAUGAUCACUUCUGAUUCUUUUUAUGAGGACAUCCUUCUCAUUUUGUACACGUGUACAAAAUGAUGAGAAUUCGUUGAAUGAGUCACUUUUAUUUCGUAAGAAGAAAACCCAAGUAAAUCUUGAGUAAUCAUCUACUAUUACAUACGUGAACCUUUUUCCGCCAAGACUUUGGGUUUGGGUUGGCCCAAAUAAGUCCAUCUGUAGAAGUUCCAAAGGUCUGGACGUAGUAAUAUCUGUAAGGGAUUUGAAUGAGCUUUUAUGCUGUUUUCCUUUUUGACAAGCAUCACAGAGAUUACUUUUCUCAUAUGCUAUUUUAGGCAGUCCAGUCACCAGUUCUUCUUUUGAUAGUUUGGAUAAUCAAAAAUAACUGGUGUGACCCAACCUUCUAUGCUAUAAAGUCUUUUCAUCACUUGCUGCAAUCAUGCAGAAGUCAUGAGUUGGCUUGGAGGGAUUAAAGGUUAUGAAAUAAGCAUUGUUUUUCCUAUAUCCUUUAGCAAUUAUAACUCCCUUGGAUUUAAUGAUUGAGCAUAGAUGUUUUUCAAAUUUAACUAUGCAAUCAUUAUCACAUAAUUGGCUUAUGCUGAUAAGAUUAUGUUUAAGGCCAUUAACUAAGUAAACAUCUCUAAGAAAUGGUCUAUCUAUAUUACCUAUAUUACCCCUACCUAUAAUGGUACCUUCGUUGUUAUCGGCGAACUUGACCUUCUUAGUAGUAGGCCAGUCGGUCAAGUCUGUCAGCAGACUUGAAUCUCCAGUCAUGUGCCUUGUGCAUCCACUGUCGAACAGCCAUUUUGACUGUUUUUCCUGAAAGAGUUGAAUAACCUUUUGGUACCCAUACUGAGUUGGGGCCAGAUGAAUUAACAUAGUUGAUUUGCUUAUAAUUUUUUAACUCAUCCUUGGUCAUCCAUUUUUGUUUUGGAUGAUUCAUCUUAGAUAGAUCUUUCUUUUUCUUAAGAUGAAUAGGUUUUCUGUAGCUAGAUUCUCUUACAAAAUAAUCAUUAUAAGUUAAAGCAUGUAAAGGUUUUUUAAUAGGUGCAUUUGAUUCAAACCCUAAGCCAAAUUUCUUUUGACCUGAGCUUGAACCUUGCAACCUGUCAUUUAGCUUAGAUGAACUAUUUAAGAAUUUUUCAAGAACAUUAUUCUUCUGACCUAUUCUUUUGAUUUGUAAUUGCAUAUCAUUACAUUUUUCAGAUAAUUUUUGUAUGGUUUCUACAUGCUCAAGUAUGAUUUUGUCCUUAGAUUCUAUUUCUGUUUUGAGCAUGAUUGUUUCUUUUUCUUUUAACAUAAUAUCUUCUUCAAAAUUAUCUAUUUUUAAUUCUAGCAAUUCAAUCUUAUCAUCAUCUAUUUCCUUAGGUUGAUUUUCUUCAGAUUCUAAAAUGUUAAGCAAUUCAAAGUUUUGACUCUUAAGUAUCUUAAUUUUUUCUUCAUCUUUGUUUAAUUUACUUGUGAGUUUUAGAUUUCUUUCUUUCAAUUGCAUGCAUUCUUUUUGUGAUUCUUCUAAUUCAAUAAAUUGAUUUAUAUGUGGUUUAUUCAUGCAUUCUAGUUUUAAUGAUUUAGUUAAUUUUUUCUCAUUUUUAAAUUUUUCCAUUAAUUCUAGAUAUGCUUCUUCUAAAGAAUUAAAUCUAGUAUUUGCAAAACUUACCUCAGAGUUGCUUUCAUGAUCCAUGAGACAAUCUUCUUGAUCCGAGUCGGAGUCUGUCCAUUGUGCCUGAUUUGCUCUUUCUUUCUUUAGCAGAGGACAUUCUGGUUUGAUGUGUCCAGACUUGUCGCAUAGAUAACAGAUUGGUUCUUUUGACUCCUUGCUCAUUCUUCUGUCAAACUUCUGAUGACUUGACCUUGAGUCUUUCUUCUCUUUCCUCUUUUUCAGAUAUCUUCUCAGAUGAUUGUGUUGGAUCGUGAUCCGAGGCUAUAAGGGGGGAUAAUAGCCUCUUUUCGAUUUAUACAGGUUGAUUGCGGAAUUACCUGUAAACGCUUAAUAAACAAAUGGUUGAACAAUAAUGAUAUAAAGAUAUUAUAACUUUGAUUGAUAUAAUAAUGUAAUAAUUACUCUUCGAAGCUUACCACAAUAUAUGAAUAACGAGUCAACUUGUUUGAUAGUGUUUUACACACAACUAUAGUAAUGAAUACUAAGUUAUAUUGUAAACACAAAUUGUAUUGUAGAGUAAAUGACCAGAUAACUGGAUAUAUUUAUAAGCAUGUAAAUGACCAGAUAACUGGAUAUAUUGAUAAGCAAGUAAAUGACCAGAUAACUGGAUAUAUAUUUGAUAAGCAAGAUAUGACCAGAUAACUGGAUAUAUAUAUGAUAAGUAAAUGCUUGAACAAAUAUAUGAAUAAAGAUUUAAAACAAUGAAUAUAACCUCAGAUAGUUGACCAGAUAACUGGAUGAGGGAUCUGCGUAAAGUAGUCAACCUCUGUAUUUGACCAGAUAACUGGAAGAGGGAUCCUUUUCAAUUAAGUGUUGUUUAGUUGUUUUUAGAUAAAAGAUAAAAACUAAAGUUAACAAAGAACAACACAAGAGAUUUAUACUGGUUCACCCAAACAAGGGCUAAUCCAGUCCCGACCAACUGUCGGAAUUCACUCGCCUAAAGGUUAUGGCAAAACCUUAGAGUAUCAAGGAAACUCUUAAGAACCACUCUAAGCUUUAAGGCUACUUCGCUUAGGAACCAGUCUUUUACGGGUAGACUCACACCUUAGAGUAUCAAAGGCACUCUUAAAAAUCUCUAACUUUUGCGGGUAAGUUAGUACCUUAGAGUAUCAAAGAACUUUUAAAAACCUCUCUAAGCUUUAAGGCUACUUCGCUUAGGAACCAGUCUUUUACGGGUAGACUCACACCUUAGAGUAUCAAGGGCACUCUUAAGAACCUCUAACUUUUACAGGUAAGUUAGUACCUUAGAGUAUCAAGGAACUCUUAAAAACCUAGAAAUCUUUCAAGGUAGAUUCGACCUAAGAGUUUUCCCGAAAACUCUAUAAAACCAAACUAGAGCUUUAUGGUUGAGCUCGAAAACCUUCUCUCACACUUUGGUACUAUUAAGACAACCCUCUCAACCAAAGUGGACACACACAAGAGGUGAUUAGAGGAGUGGAAUAUUAAAGCAAACAACACUUUUUACUUGUAAAGAUGAACAAGAAGAUUAGAAGAAGAAGUUGGAGAGCUUUUGAAGCUUUGGAAAGCUAGGACACUUGAGCACUUGAAAGCUUGGAAGCUUGGAGGCAAAAACGUGUGGGCAAGUGUGGAGUGAAAGCUCUUGAGUUUACUUGUAGUGUGGUGAGUGAAAAUGAGGGGAUUACCCUUCUAUUUAUAGCCUUGGCCACUCAAUGUCCACCCUUGGAUCUUCAAUGGAUGGCUCUUUGAUUUCUCACAAAAAUCCAAGCUUUGUCUUUGAUCUUAUCUUGAAUAGUGCUUUUUUUGGAUAGAGUUUGUUGGAGAAUCUUAUCUUUGUAUAAAUUCAAACUUGAAUAGUGUUUU
rnacentral:lncRNA from 1 species